rnacentral:rRNA from 1 species
GACGAACGCUGGCGGCGUGCCUAACACAUGCAAGUCGAGCGGUCCGGCAUUUAACAUUGAGUAUUCAGCAAAGAUGACGGCUACAGAGCCGGCGUCAAGCAGAAACAUCCUUGAUAUUCACGAAUCGAAUCAAAGUUUCUGCUUCACGCUAUAUCAAGUGCCAACACAUACAGGAACUGAGUACUGAAUGUUGAAUGCCGGAUAGCGGCGGACGGGUGAGUAACGCGUGGGCAACCUGCCUCAUACUGGGGGAUAACACAGGGAAACUUGUGCUAAUACCGCAUAAUAUCAUUAUAGGGCAUCCUGUGAUGAUCAAAGGAGCAAUCCGGUGUGAGAUGGGCCCGCGUCCAAUUAGCUAGUUGGUGGGGUAACGGCCCACCAAGGCGACGAUUGGUAGCCGAACUGAGAGGUUGAUCGGCCACAUUGGGACUGAGACACGGCCCAGACUCCUACGGGAGGCAGCAGUGGGGAAU